ACUGUGAGAACUAACCUAAAAUUUCCACCGCACAUUUCAGUUAUUGUUAAAUUUAAAGAGAAUGAUUCGAUAAAAAUUGUAAUCAAAGUCGUUCGUGCAGAACAAACAGUUAUUGAAAUUGAAUUUAUUACUGACCGAAGUUCGUGUUGAGUCGUAAAAAGUGUUUGUAUUUGUAUGAAGGAACUGUCCCGAAUUUUUUAUUCAUGGUCCUAAUGAAUUUCAUAGCUUAUUUGAAAAAUAAAACGGACUGUGAAAACCAUUGACGUAAAUAUGGAGACCUAUUAACAUCCUUCUAUUUUCUCCUACCUGCCAGCACGAGCUGGUUACUUCGGUACAACUCCACAACACAAAAUGUUGUCGCUGCAAAGAACAAACAAGAAACUUCUUCAACACCAUGAUCUGUUAAAAUAUCAGAAACCUAAAACGGAGUACUCAGUGGGCUUUUAUUCCAAAAAAGGGUUAAGGUAAAAGUUUACGUGUAAUAUGAUGAAAUAAUAUUGUGCAAAUUUUCUUUAAUAUUAAAUGUAUCGUAAAUAAUA